rnacentral:rRNA from 1 species
AUUGAACGCCGGCGGCAUGCCUUACACAUGCAAGUCGAACGGCAGCACGGGGGCAACCCUGGUGGCGAGUGGCGAACGGGUGAGUAACACAUCGGAACGUGCCCAGUAGUGGGGGAUAGCUCGGCGAAAGCCGGAUUAAUACCGCAUACGACCUACGGGUGAAAGCGGGGGAUCGCAAGACCUCGCGCUAUUGGAGCGGCCGAUGUCAGAUUAGGUUGUUGGUGGGGUAAAGGCCUACCAAGCCGACGAUCUGUAGCUGGUCUGAGAGGACGACCAGCCACACUGGGACUGAGACACGGCCCAGACUCCUACGGGAGGCAGCAGUGGGGAAUUUUGGACAAUGGGCGCAAGCCUGAUCCAGCCAUGCCGCGUGCGGG